UACGGGAGGCAGCAGUGGGGAAUAUUGCACAAUGGGCGAAAGCCUGAUGCAGCUAUGCCGCGUGUAUGAAGAAGGCCUUAGGGUUGUAAAGUACUUUCAUCGGGGAGGAAAAAACAAAACUAAUAAUUUUAUUUCUUGACGUUACCCGAAAAAGAAGCACCGGCUAACUCCGUGCCAGCAGCCGCGGUAAUACGGAGGGUGCUAGCGUUAAUCAGAAUUACUGGGCGUAAAGAGCACGUAGGUGGUUUUUUUAAGUCAGAUGUGAAAUCCCUGGGCUUAACCUAGGAACUGCAUUUUGAAACUGAAAUACUAGAGUAUCGUAGAGGGAGGUAGAAUUCUAGGUGUAGCGGUGAAAUGCGUAGAUAUCUGGAGGAAUACCUGUGGCGAAAGCGGCCUCCUAAACGAAUACUGACACUGAGGUGCGAAAAGCGUGGGGAGCAAAACAGGGAUUAGAUACC
rnacentral:rRNA from 1 species